UUAAGGUUAGUUCGCUAAGAAAAUUUCUUCUAAAUAAAUCCUAUUAUUUUCGCACUAUCUACUAUCACAAAAUUAUAUCAGAAUUCAUUUUUAAGAUUUUUUCAUUUUGAAGACGUCACAGCUCGUUAUUGAAACUUGAUCAGAAAAAACAGAUUUCACCUCUAUGCCAGGUUGCGCAGGGCAGAAAUCAAUAGGAAUGAAUCCAGGGUACCGAAUUCAAAGGUCGCAAAGGUUCAAUUUGACCUAAGUUGAUGUGCAACUUGUAAAUACCUGCGGUGUAUUUAGGCUUCCGGCGCUCAUGAUGACCUCGUUUUUGGCCC